rnacentral:rRNA from 1 species
CGCGUAGGCGGGUUUGUUAGUCAGAGGUGAAAUCCUGCGGCUUAACCGUAGAACUGCCUUUGAUACUGCAAAUCUUGAGUAUGGAAGAGAGAGACGGAAUUCCAGGUGUAGUGGUGAAAUACGUAGAUAUCUGGAAGAACACCAGUGGCGAAGGCGGUCUCUUGGUCCAUUACUGACGCUGAGGCGCGAAAGCGUGGGGAGCAAACAGGAUUAGAUACCCUGGUAGUCC